CAGGUCCAAACCACUGGUAGCAGCCCCUGGUAUAUCCAGGACAUCAGCACAUAGAACCAGUGAAAGGGUCCUCCCUCAUAGUGACGCAUGUCAUAGACUCAGAUUUAUACAAACAAAUGCUGAGCAAACCAUGAAGAGUCUCUGGUAUUUUCAACAAUAUCAUCACAGAGGAACUGUAUUGAUUUCCUUGCACGUUCAGGGUACUGGGAGAGGCAACAGGGAUGGAGGUCCCAUGUCAGGGGACUUCACAGUGUGACGGGAAUGUUCAACCUGCACCUGUUCCUUGCACCAUACUCCAUCCAGCUCUCCGCUCUUCCAGUCAUUUAUGCUCCUGUCUUCCGUGGAGGAAGUCUGGUAGUAUCUCCCCGGGACACUGGCUCAAAUUUCCAGCCACCUGCCCAAGACAGAUGGGACCAGGGGCCAGAUGAUGUGGACAAUGAUGAUGUCACAAAGAGAAGCUGUGCUUUGCCUCUUGGCCUAUUUUCCUUCCUGACUUUUUUCAGCCACAGUGAGUCUCUGAGACCUAGUUUUGGCAGAAGGAAGUACCAGAGGGAGCUGAGCUGUUGAACAUUAUGUGCGAUCAUGUAAUAACUGCAAUCGGAAGGGAAACACUCAGAGUCCUGGAGAAAGAGAAAUUCGCAUUUGUGGACGCCUGCUGGGAGCUAGGCACUUUCGAAUAGUUCCUGUCACCUAACUUAAGUAUCAUUACUCAAGUACUAAUUAACUUAGGUAUUAUGCAGAGAAGUCGAAUAAUUAGAAAAGUGGCAUGACUUAUACAAGGCAACAUAACAGCUAGAAUUUAAAUGUAAAA
rnacentral:lncRNA from 1 species